CUGUUCGCCAUUUAAAGAGGUACGCGAGCUGGGUUUAGAACGUCGUGAGACAGUUCGGUCCCUAUCUACCGUGGGCGUUGGAGACUUGAGAGGAUCUGCUUCUAGUACGAGAGGACCGAAGUGGACGUACCUCUGGUGUUCCGGUUGUCACGCCAGUGGCAUUGCCGGGUAGCUACGUACGGAAGGGAUAACUGCUGAAAGCAUCUAAGCAGGAAGCCCACCUCAAGAUGAGGUCUCCCUGGGGGUUUAACCCUCCUAAAGUGCCGUUCGAGACCAGGACGUUGAUAGGUUCGGUGUGGAAGCGCGGUGACGCGUGAAGCUAACGAAUACUAAUUGCACGUGAGGCUUGACCAU
rnacentral:rRNA from 1 species